UGAGGAAUAUUGGUCAAUGGGAGCAAUCCUGAACCAGCAAUGCCGCGUGUGGGAUGACAGGGCUCAGCCUUGUAAACCACUGUCGGAUGGGACGAGAGGGGGUCUUAGGCCCCUGGGACGGUACCAUCAAAGGAAGGGUCGGCUAACUACGUGCCAGCAGCCGCGGUAAUACGUAGGACCCGAGCGUUGUCCGGAUUCACUGGGUAUAAAGGGUGCGUAGGCGGCCUUGUGCGUCAGAGGUGAAAUAUCCGGGCUUAACCCGGAGGGUGCCUUUGAUACGGCAGGGCUUGAGUCCGAGAGAGGGUGAUGGAAUUCCUGGUGUAGCGGUGAAAUGCGUAGAUAUCAGGAGGAACACCGGUGGCGAAGGCGGUCACCUGGCUCGGAACUGACGCUGAGGCAC
rnacentral:rRNA from 1 species